rnacentral:lncRNA from 1 species
CUUAGUACUACAAAAAAUUCUAAAUCUGUGAUAUAUGAUUGAUAAACGUAAAGUUAACUGUAUAAACGUGUUCAAUGACUUUGUUACUUUUGAUGAUUGGAGAGCACUCGCUUCAAUUCGCACACGAAAACUUUAGACUCAGUUUGAAUGCUCACGCGGCAUGCCCACGUGACUGUACGUUGCACGCGUACAUGACUUUCCGUUUGUUCCUUGAAUAAUGAAUAAGGCUACGUCCACACGUACCAGCGUAUUUUUGAAACCGCUGAUUUUUCUAUGCGUUUGCACCUUUUGUCCACACGUAAUGUAUGUCUGGCUGUACAUUGUGUUUGUAUUUCCAGGCACAUUUCACGAAGCAGAACGCAGUCUUCAGAGAUAUCCACGUGAACGCUGUGAUACGUCUGACCUUCAGUCCGAAGAAGAAACCCAGACCAGUCUUAAAAGAAAGCACAAACCAAAUCCCCUGUACACAUAUACGGACUCAGAGGAUGAGCAGCCUACAAAAAAACGGUUUCCCCAGGCCCCUCGAGUGAAAAUACCAGCCCUCAUCACUCUGCAGUCUGCCCCCCAGCCCACUGAUAGCAACCAUCAUAAUGCCCCACCCAGCUUCCGGCACCUUUCGCCACUCCGGCACAAGCCGACACAGCUUUGCGAUCUCGCCAGCAUGCAGAGUCUGAUGUCUUCCCUAUAGAUGAUUCCAGAGACUCUGUGAGGCCACUAUUACAAGGCAAGUUUGAAAAUCUUGGAAUUUCACAGUUUACAUGGUAUAACAAAUAUAUGUGACAGGCAAAAACUAGUAAACACUUUUAGCAGUUACAAGAACUAACAAAUGAAUAUCCAACAAAAGGGAAUAGAAAUACAUUGUACUGCCAAUACUUUGGUUUAUUCUUUGUAUGACUUGAAAAUCAGGCUUUAGGGAAAACUAAAUGACAUGUUUCUAUCAUCAAUUACAUGAAGUAAACACACAAGCACUUGCAUACACAUUUAAGACAUGAGACACGCUAAUUCCAUCUCAUAAAAUGUGUCUAUAGGUGAGACGCUUUGUGUUGAUUGGUGCUGCUGGACCACACUGGAGGUGCGAGUCCGCCGUGUAAUGGUUUAUGCCAUUACAAAGGAGCUGGCCUCUGUACUCAGCUGGGCAGGGAAAAAAAACCAAGGACCAGACAAAGCAAAAAAGGGCAUUUAAAGAGACAGCGCUGUGCAGAUGCAUAUUUGGUAAGUUUUAACAUUUAUUUUAGUUUUAUGAGCCUAAAGUGAACAAUAAAGGGAUCAAUUGAUGUGCUGGGUGCGUUUCACAUUUCCUAUGUCUGGUUUUUGCUAUAUUACUUUGUCUUUCUUAAUAACAAGACUUUCAUGUCCGGUUAAUCUGGAGAUGGAGUCUUUGGUUUUCGGCUUGUUUUGUCCUCGGGUUGUACACUUUGUACAGCCCGAGGACCCCAUGUUUUCUUUUUUUUUUUAAAAAGGAUACACGGCACACCAUGCUAAGACAUAUCACAUUUUCAGCUUAUAGCUCUUUGGGAAUCAAAUGCGGCAGUUUGCUGAUUUCCGCCUGGUGACUUUCAUGUUUAUCAGCCUAGGAGUUUACAUACUUUCUCCCUGCUGAAGACAAUUAACAAGAGCUUAUUCAUGUGCUCUAAUUCCCUUUUUUUGUCUUUGUUUUUUUUGUGUGUGUGUGUCUAUUUUUGUCCUAGAUGGCCUGACGCAGCAGGUAGGGGCGAACUCUAUGUCUGAGUUGGUCUUUGCUCAAGCAGUCCAGAAAUGGCUCAGAUAUGCUCCAGAUCGUACGGGUGGCGCGCAGGACGCACAUCAUCCGUCCCCAUCCCGGAGUAAACAAUAAAAAGUGACGUGAAACAUAGAAAUGUAAAUAGGAAACUUUGUCUUUUAAUAAAGUAUUUUGCAAAUGAUACAUGUCUAUUGACCUUUUUUGUUUUUUUGUUUUUUUUCAAUAAAAAGCAACUGUGCGAAAGAGGUGGAAAAUCAAUACCAUAGCUCAACAGUGUUUCAAUAUCAGAAUCUGACAUUGUUUCAAUGUCAACAGUGUUAGAAAAUAUAACGUAGAAUCAAUGUCAGGUUUCAACAUUGAUUCAACAUCAAAACCUGACGUUGUUUCAACGUUAAAAAUGGGUGCAAGAGUGAUGUUGGGUCAACGUCACACUUCAACGUUGCUUCAAUGACGUCGCCUGAUAUUGACUCAACAUUGUUUCAAUGUUUCCUUGCUAUCUGGGAAAGACCUAAUUCCCCUAAGGUAAGAGCCCAGCUCAGGGAUUGCACGUUGCCCGACUAAUAUUGCACCAGCCCGUUGAAAAUAAAAACAAACCCGGCAUAAAAAACAAUUUUAAAAGGUGACCCUGCUAAAACCAGAAACGCAACAAAAAGAGGAAAAAACAGUGACAAAUUCACAUGUGCAGCCUGUCCUGCAGGAGGCAAUGCAAUAUAAAUUAGAUUAUAGUGUAUAAAUAUACUUUUUUUAAUGUCAAAUAUAUUAAGUUAACAUACCUCCAGCAGACAACUGUGUUUGCUGCACACCUGACUUAUCUUGGCUUAUCUUCUAAAAUCACUACUAAAAACAUAAAAUACAAUAAACAUCAAAUACAUUUCAACAAAUUUAAAAAAGCACUAAAUGAAAAACAGCCUGUACCUCAAACCUCUGGGGUCUGUUUCAGAAAGCGGGUUUAGAAAACUCAGAGUUAAAAAUAAUACUCAGGGUUGAGUAACCCCGAGCAGUCCAACUCGGAAUAUUCGGUUUCAGAAAGGCUGAUAACAAUUAGUUCAAUCAACGCGGAGUUGCUUUAACCCCAAGUUAAGCGCGCGCACUAGGAUACAUAAAGCCCUGUUUAGUGGAGCACAGAUUAAGCGAGUCACCAUGGAGACGGAGGGAAAGAAGGCGCGGUUAAUGUAUUUUACAGCGCUUGAGGCCGAAAUUCUGAUGGCAGCAUAUGCCGAUAACAUGCAAAUUUUGCGGAAAAAAAGUAACACAGCCUCAACUGCAAAAGAAAGGGAGC